rnacentral:tRNA from 1 species
GGCUGUGUGGUCUAGUGGUAUGAUUCUCGCUUAGGGUGCGAGAGGUCCCAAGUUCAAUUCUCGGCACAGCCC